rnacentral:rRNA from 1 species
GACGAACGCUGGCGGCGUGCUUAACACAUGCAAGUCGAACGGAAAGGCCCUGCUUUUGUGGGGUGCUCGAGUGGCGAACGGGUGAGUAACACGUGAGUAACCUGCCCUUGACUUUGGGAUAACUUCAGGAAACUGGGGCUAAUACCGGAUAGGAGCUCCUGCUGCAUGGUGGGGGUUGGAAAGUUUCGGCGGUUGGGGAUGGACUCGCGGCUUAUCAGCUUGUUGGUGGGGUAGUGGCUUACCAAGGCUUUGACGGGUAGCCGGCCUGAGAGGGUGACCGGCAAGGCGGCGGUGGCGUGGCGGCGCACGCGCGGGGGGGCGGGGGAAGUGGGGAAUAGGGCGGGGCGGGCGCAGGGCGGGGGCGGCGGGGGGGCGGGCGGGAUGGCGGCGUGCGGGCUGAGAACCGCGGCGGCGGGGGGCGAAGAGGGAGGGAAGGAAAGGAUAAAAAAAGCGCCGGCUAACUACGGGGCGGCAGGGGUGGUAAGAGGGGGAGGGGGACCUGCCUGCCC